CCUACGGGUGGCAGCAGUCGAGAAUCAUUCACAAUGGGGGAAACCCUGAUGGUGCGACGCCGCGUGGGGGAAUGAAGGUCUUCGGAUGGUAAACCCCUGUCAUGUGGGAGCAAAUUAAAAAGAUAGUACCACAAGAGGAAGAGACGGCUAACUCUGCGCCAGCAGCCGCGGUAAUACAGCGGUCUCAAGCGUUAUUCGGAAUCACUGGGCGUAAAGCGUGCGUAGGCUGUUUCGUAAGUCGUGUGUGAAAGGCGCGGGCUCAACCAGCGGACGGCACAUGAUACUGAGAGACUAGAGUAAGGGAGGGGGAAGCGGAAUUCUCGGUGUAGCAGUGAAAUGCGUAGAUAUCGAGAGGAACACUCGUGGCGAAGGCGGGUUCCUGGACAUUAACUGACGCUGAGGCACGAAGGCCAGGGGAGCGAAAGGGAUUAGAUACCCCAGUAGUC
rnacentral:rRNA from 1 species